AGUGAACGCUGGCGGCGUGCCUAAUACAUGCAAGUCGAACGAGUGGCGGACGGGUGAGUAAUGUCUGGGAAACCGCCUGAUGGAGGGGGGACAAUAGUGGAAACUGAAUGUAAUACCUCAUUGCAUGGGAUGAGACCAGAUGGUAUUAGCUAGUAGGUGGGGUAACGGCUUACCUAGGCGACGAUCCAUAGCUGGUCUGAGAGGAUGACCAGCCACACGGGAAAUGAGACACGGUCCAGCCUCCUACGGGAGGCAGCAGUGGGGAAUAUUGCACAAUCGGCGCAAGCCUGUAGCAGCCAAGCCGCGUGUAUGAAGAAGGCCUUCGGGUUGUAAAGUACUUUAAGCCGGGAGGCGUUACCCGACGAAGAAGCACCGGCUAACUCCGUGCCAGCAGCCGCGGUAAUUC
rnacentral:rRNA from 1 species